GGAGUUCCCGUGAACACGUCAUCCCCAAACAGAUUAAAAAAAAAACUGGGAUCAUCAUUCAUCAGUGGGUUAGGAAAUGAGAGAUGAGGGAUACCGUACACCUGAGUAGCAGGGGAUCAUGGGAUUGGGUUUCCUUUCUUUCCUUUCUCCUUAAAUCAAAUCUCAACUCAAUCCCCCCCUCCUGUGCUGCUGCUGCUGCUGCUGCUGCUGCUGCUGCUGUCGUCUUUACGACUGACUGACUGACUGUACCUCCACCCUCAGCAGAUGCAAUCCACAACUGGUGCUGCUGCCACUGCUACUGCUAGUAGUCGUACCUCCGGUGGCGGCCCCGGCCUUGCUCGCUUCCGCUCUGCUCCUGCCGCCUGGUUGGAAGCGCUUUUGGAGGACGACGAAGAGGACCCUCUCAAGCCCAAUCCCUGCUUGACUCAGCUUCUUGCCGCCAACUCCUCCGACCUCGUCUCAGCUCCCGGGGAUCACCCCUUGUUCGACCCCAAUCCCUCUCCCGCCUUCCACAGGCAGAAUAGCUCCCCACCUGAGUUUCUUGCUCCCUCUGGAAUUGCUGAAGGAUUUUACACCUCCUAUCCUCUCAAUUCCUCCCCCACUCUCGACAUCUCUCCCACCUCCAAGCCAGCUACAGAUGUCGACGCCCAAAACUUCUUCCCCAAAUUUUCCCCUCAACUGAAAAGAGAAGGAAGUGGAGUUUCCAGUUUGAUAGACAUGGAAAUGGAGAAGUUAUUGGAGGACUCUGUGCCCUGCCGGGUGAGAGCCAAGCGUGGCUGUGCGACGCAUCCUCGGAGCAUUGCUGAGAGGGUUCGUAGGACUAGAAUUAGUGACAGAAUAAGGAAGCUUCAGGAAGUUGUCCCCAACAUGGAUAAGAGCUUGGGAGCACUUCAGCAUGUUUUCUUUUCCAGUUGAGCUGAAAAUUAGGUAAGCAAAGUGGAAUGGCAGAGACGAAAUUAGAAGCAGACUGAAGCUUCAAUUCAACUAAGAGAAAACUAGAAGCUGCCUCCAACUUGUAGAGCAAAAACAAAGGGUUGAGUUGACUGAGAGAGUUAAGAAAGAAAUCUUGAAGCCUAUUCCUCAGAGAAAUCCAUGUGCGCUACUCAAAAGUGCUAUUAGGACUUUUGGACGGAGGGACUUUCUUUCUUGAUUUGCUGGCUGGAAAACAAGCGUGAAGGACAUCUGCUGCGAACAAACAAAAAUGUGGUGUAUAAGAGAAUGAUUUAGGCAUAUGUCAGAUGACGAUGGUGAUAACUGGUAGGCAUAGUAGGUAACCGAUGGUCGGAGAAGAGUGGCGCUAAUGACUAGAAGGGGAAAGAGUGGAGGACAAAAAAGGGAGAGAGGGGAGUUGGGAAGUUGGAAAAGCAAGUCACCAACUUAACCAACACAUCUUAAUUCCGUUUGUCCACUGGUGUAGAAAUGAGGCUGAAGAUCAUUUAAAACCAUUUUUAUAACCACAGCACCGAUGAUGCAGUUUUACCAUAUUUAAAUUAUUAUGGCAAACAAACACUGCAGAUAUGUUAGAAGAAGCAGUAGAGUAUGUCAAAU